rnacentral:tRNA from 1 species
AGAGAGUAGUUUAAUUAAAAUAUUAAUUUUGGAGAUUAAUGAUAGAAAAAAAUUCUUUCUCUGAA